UGGGGAAUAUUGCACAAUGGGCGGAAGCCUGAUGCAGCAACGCCGCGUGCGGGAUGACGGCCUUCGGGUUGUAAACCGCUUUCAUCCAUGACGAAGCUUUUGUGACGGUAGUGGAAGAAGAAGCACCGGCUAACUACGUGCCAGCAGCCGCGGUGAUACGUAGGGUGCGAGCGUUGUCCGGAUUUAUUGGGCGUAAAGAGCUUGUAGGCGGUUUGUUGCGUCGGGAGUGAAAACUCAGGGCUUAACCCUGGGCCUGCUUCCGAUACGGGCAGACUUGAGGAAGGUAGGGGAGAAUGGAAUUCCUGGUGAAGCGGUGGAAUGCGUAGAUAUCAGGAGGAACACCGGUGGCGAAGGCGGUUCUCUGGACCUUUCCUGACGCUGAGAAGCGAAAGCGUGGGGAGCAAACA
rnacentral:rRNA from 1 species